rnacentral:RNase_P_RNA from 1 species
CCAGACGGUCGGACGGCCGCCCGCCUACGCGGCGUAGCCGCUUCGGCGCGGCAAGCCCUGCCUGCACGAUGCAGCGGGUUCGCCACGCCGAAGCCCGAAAGGGCGAAGGCGGGAGGAAAGUCCGGGCUCCAUGGAGACAAGGCGCCGGGUAACGCCCGGCCGGGCCUCUCAGCGAUGAGGGGUCUGAGGGACAGCGCCACAGAGAACGAACCGCCUCUUUUAAAGGGGCAAGGGUGAAAAGGUGCGGUAAGAGCGCACCGCCGGACCAGCAAUGGGACGGGCACGGCAAGCCCCGCCUGGAGCAAAACCGAAUAGGGACGGCGCGCCCCAAAAGGGCAGGCGGGUUUCCGCGCCGAGUCGUCCGGGUUGGUUGCUUGAGCCGCGCAGCAAUGUGCGGCCUAGAGGAAUGGCCGUCGCCUCGCGAGAGGUACAGAACCCGGCUUACAGACCGUCUGGCGCU